rnacentral:rRNA from 1 species
CAGUAGCCGCGGUAAUACGAAGGGGGCUAGCGUUGUUCGGAAUUACUGGGCGUAAAGCGCACGUAGGCGGAUAUUUAAGUCAGGGGUGAAAUCCCGCAGCUCAACUGCGGAACUGCCUUUGAUACUGGGUAUCUUGAGUAUGGAAGAGGUUAGUGGAAUUGCGAGUGUAGAGGUGAAAUUCGUAGAUAUUCGCAGGAACACCAGUGGCGAAGGCGGCUAACUGGUCCAUAACUGACGCUGAGGUGCGAAAGCGUGGGGAGCAAACAGGAUUAGAUACCCCCGUAGUCCCUGUCUCUUAUAA